rnacentral:piRNA from 1 species
UCGGACCUAAAAGGGUACCUGGCUCUUAGU